UACGGAAGGCAGCAGUGGGGAAUCUUGCGCAAUGGGCGAAAGCCUGACGCAGCCAUGCCGCGUGAAUGAUGAAGGUCUUAGGAUUGUAAAAUUCUUUCACCGGGGACGAUAAUGACGGUACCCGGAGAAGAAGCCCCGGCUAACUUCGUGCCAGCAGCCGCGGUAAUACGAAGGGGGCUAGCGUUGCUCGGAAUUACUGGGCGUAAAGGGCGCGUAGGCGGAUCGUUAAGUCAGAGGUGAAAUCCCAGGGCUCAACCCUGGAACUGCCUUUUGAUACUGGCGAUCUUGAGUAUGAGAGAGGUAUGUGGAACUCCGAGUGUAGAGGUGAAAUUCGUAGAUAUUCGGAAGAACACCAGUGGCGAAGGCGACAUACUGGCUCAUUACUGACGCUGAGGGCGCGAAAGCGUGGGGAGCAAACAGGGAUUAGAUACC
rnacentral:rRNA from 1 species